GCGGUAUAGCCAAGUGGUAAGGCAGGGGUCUGCAAAACCCUUAUCACCGGUUCAAAUCCGGUUACCGC
rnacentral:tRNA from 1 species